AGAGCACCAGCAGCUAACUAUUUUCUUCAUCUUCUCUUCUGGUUGUUCUCUCUGUAUUUCCAACAGAAGCUUCUUGUUUCUCUCCGUCUCCCUCACCCUCUCAGUUAACAGUUUGAACAGAAUGAAGGCGCAAGCUAAGAUAGUUCAUGCUAGCCGAUGUUUUGGCCAAAUUGCAAAUGCAUGAUGGUAUGCAUGACAAAAUUGAACAUUUUUUACCAAAAGGAGACUUCUGGUAAUUUUAUUAUACCACAGAUUUCCUGAAGUUACGAUAUUCAUAUCCCGCUCAACCAGUUCAAACCAGUAAAGACACUUAUUAAGACCAAGUAACCAUCAAAGCAUAUAAUUUGGAUAAAGAUGUAUGAAGGAGUUGCAUCACCUAUUUAUCCGGCCUUAUCUAUGGGAACUUAGUCAUGCAGUAAUACUAGCUACUUACUAGCAGAAGAUAUUUCAAAAACUAAGUCAUGAACAAAUAAUGCCUUUGGGCUAUCAUUUUGUAUGGUUUACCUUCGUGGAUUUAAUUUUCUUGAGGGAGCGAGAUUCAUUUGUUCCUGAAUGCAGAUUCUGAAUAUGUACAUGUAUGCUCUUAAUAGUAGGUGGUCGUUAAUGUUUGUCACUAUUUACUAA